rnacentral:lncRNA from 1 species
ACACCUGACUUAAUUAACAUGUAAUUGAAUCCAUUGUGAUCUAGGUCUUAAUAACCCAAACAAAGAACAUUCCAUGGGCAAAUUCGACACAUAGUUUUCAUUAUUUUAUUGACAUGCAUACUUCAUGCGAAAAUUAUGUUUUUACUAGCGAAGCUGCCACUAUAUUUUAGGGCCAAUUACAUAGAAGUCCAUUUUGAGACAUUUUUUUUCCAUAUAAGUCCACCCAAUUCUAAAUAAAGUUUAUAUUAGUUAUUGAAGUUCAACAUAAUUACAAACUGUCAUUCAACCAAAAAAAUUAAAUUAUCUCUCUUAUAUUACAAGAAUGCCACUAUUAUGAAAAGUCAACAACUACUCUCUUCUCUAAAAAAGUCUCCGGCCGACCUCCGACGAGGUCUCCAGCAAACUCUGACCGAUCUUUGGUGAAUUUUCCAACCGACCUCUGGUGAGGAUUUUGAUGACCAUAAAAGAUACUACUAUCUAUAACAAAAGAUAUCAUCGUCAUUAACAACAAAUACCACUGCCAGCAACAAAAAAUACUACCACAAACAACAAUAACUACUACAAUCAGUUAUAAAAGAUAUUACCGCAAGCAACAAAAUCUACUACCUCCACCAAUUAAAACUACGACAACCACCAACAAAAACUACUACCGAUAUAAACAAAAGCUACUACCCCUAUAUACAAAAGCUAUUGCCACAACACCGAGAUAAACAAAAGCUACUACCAACAUAAACAAAAGCUACUACCCCUAUAUACAAAAGCUACCGCCACAACAAAAGCUACUACCGACAUAAACAAAAACUAUUACCAAUGUCAGGACCCACCCCGAAUUUCACCCUGAAACCCGAAUUAAAUCCUACGGGGUCCACCUCCAAGGAAAAUUUACCGAAAAAAAUUUGGCAUAACUUCCCUUGAAAGUUGACAACCCUUACCUGAAAAAUUCAGAAUACACUCCUAUAACGAAACAACCACAUCCUCAACUUCUAGAGCCACCCGCUCCCCACAAACACAACCACCACAAUAAAAUAAUAAAACCAUCCCCAAUUCAUCACAUAAAUAUCCAACUAAAAUAACAAACUGCAUCCUUUGGAUAUUCUAAAAUAUAAUCAUAAGCCUUAGCACACAACCAAAAUAUGAUACAAAAUCCCCAAGGGUAAUCAGAGCUACUAAACACUAGAGGAAACAAGAAAAUACACUGGUAGGUUAAGCAGGUAACCUACUGGUGAAAAAUGGUGGAGAUGUAGAUAACUAUGCCUUGCCUCCUACUAGUACUAACCCGAACUUUGCAGACUGGGCAUUUUUUAAAACGAAGGGCCCAAGAGAAAACAUUUGCAAACGUUAGAGUGAGUGAACAAAAAUAAAUUAAUAAAAAGAAUAACUAAAAUAUUUAUGCAUUCCCAAUUUAAAUUCCAUAAAAAAUAUAUUGCAUGCGACAGCUUAAAAGCUCUCAACUCAUAAACUGGCAAUUACAUGUAGAUCCAAAACUUAAUAAAAUAGAACCUGUCAGGCUAAACUAUAUAUAAAUAUAUAUAUAUAUAUAUUUACAUUCGUAAGAUUCCUUGUACGAAUUCUAUGAAAAAAUAAGAAAGAUAGAAAUUCAUCACGUCGCACCAUAAUGAAACUUUACCUCAUUAUGACGGAACAAGACUGGUGUAUAUACGUGUAGAUCCCCUACAUGAAAACCUAUACAAAAAUAUAAGAAAGUAGUUUUCAUAUAGAGUUACGACGCUUGCAUCUAACGCUCACGUCGCGUUAUAAUGGAAUUUUACCUCAUUAUGACGGAACAAGGACGUAUGGCUAGCUAGCAUUUAUUAUACAUACUAUCCUCAUAAUAUUCAAAUACAUAUUCACCGAAAAUCUCAUUUUCGGUAAGUAUUAAAAAUGAUGAAAAUUGCCAAAUAUCCGAAAAAGCAAUAAAUCCCAGUAGAAGAAUAACUGAUCAACAAAAUAAUGCAUCGCAUGCUUUUAAAUUAAAACCAAGUCCACUCACAAAUUAGGCCUAAGCCUGAUGUCGAUCCAAGGCCUCUUCUGCUCGAGCCUCCUCACGUCCUGUUCCAAAUUAUAAUUAAAUUCCCAACCAAAAAUCCAAUAUUUAUACAAAAUAGGCGAAAUUAAACGUGAGCCGUAACCACGCUCAUCAUUGCCUAACUUCAAUAUUCCUAAUUCGAUACGGUCCACACUUCAACAUCAAAACCAGCAGCCUUAAAAUAAUCCCCUACAGAUUAAACAACUUUAAUUCAACGGCCGGAUUCUACCCUAAUUAACCGCCAAAAUACCAAACUUUGAAAAAUCUCAGACCUAUCCAAAACUCCUCAAAAAAUUCCAAACUUCACAUGAUUAGUCUCCCUUUAAUAUAACACAUUUAAAACCAUGAAAAUCUCAAUAACAGCGGCGGUGCCGCUGUCUGCUCUGCCAACACCGACGACCUCUAAUGCCUACCAAAUUUUAGCAGCGUCUUCCUCUCAACCCACUCUACAACUUUCCUAACUAGCACAAACACCAAUUCCAAGCCUAACUAGGUCAAUCGGAAAAAAACAUUUCAAGAAACCCUAGAACUUCUACUCACCGAUUCUCCUCACCUGAAGCAAACUGGAUUGAGUCCUUUUAGGGCAAGGCUACUGGGUUGAAGACCUUCAAAACCAUAUAAGGCUUGCCUGGAUUGGUGGCCGGAGGAGGAAGUUCCGGCGACGGAACACCACGAACGACCAGAGCUCUCGGGCGCGAUAUCUCCUUCACGGUGGCGCUAGAGAGGUUGCCACCGGUCCAUGAAGGAAGAGGAGAUGAUGGCCGACCGUUUGGGACCGGUCAAGAAUCUGAACUGGCUCCUCUUCCUAGGUCAAAUCUUUCUGCAAACUAAUCGGCUGCUCUUGCAACACAUGGGAUGGAUCGGCAAUAUACUUGCGAAGCAUGGAUACAUCAAACACAUUAUGUAUCCUGGAUAGUUCUGGAGGCAAAACUAACCGAUAAGCAAGUGAACCGACUCGCUCUAUAAUCUCAUAAGGGCCAAUAUACCUCGGACUAAGCUUCCCACGUUUACCAAAACGUACUACCCCUUUCCAAGGAGAUAGUUUCAAGAACACCCAAUCACCCACUUGAAACUCUAAGUCUUUCCUGCGGACAUUUGCAUAACUCUUCUGCCUACUUUGAAUGGCCUUAAGUCUAUCUUUGACCACUUUAAUCUUUUCAUUUGUAUCAUGGAUUAACUCCGGGCCACAGAGCUCUUUUUUUCCUACUUCAUUCCAACACAAAGGUGUAUGACACUGCUUCCCAUAAAGUGCCUCAAAGGGAGCCAUACCAAUACUAGAAUGGUAGCUGUUGUUGUAUGCAAUUUCCAUCAAAGAUAGAUUCUUAUCCCAACUCCCCCUGAACUGCAUGGCACACGAUCUCAACAUAUCCUCCAAAGUCUAGAUAGUCCUCUCAGAUUGCCCAUCAGUUUGAGGAUGAAAAGUAGUGCUGAAGUGUAAUCAGGUACCUAAAGCUGCCUGAAGAGCUCCCUAGAAUUUAGAAGCAAAUCUAGGAUCUCGAUCCGACACUAUUGAUUUAGGUACACCAUGUAGUCUCACAAUCUCAUUCACAUAAAGUUCCGCCAAUUUAUCUAGCGUAUACUUCUUUCCCACUGGCAAGAAAUGUGCAGAUUUGGUGAGUCUAUCCACAAUCACCCAAACACCGUCAUGCCCAUCACGGGUACGAGGUAAACUGAAAACAAAAUCUAUGGUGAUGUGGCCGGUCCCACUUCCACACUGGAAUGGUCAACGAUUCAAACAAUCUAGAAGGUUUCUGCCUUUCAGCUUUCACUUGUUGACAGAUCAAACAUCUACUCACAAAAUCUGCAAUUUCCCUCUUCAUGUUUGGCCACCAAUAAAAAUCCUUCAAAGUCCGAUACAUUUUUGUACUACCAGGGUGUGCAGCAUAUGCAGAACUAUGGGCUUCUUCCAUUAUCUCCUUCUUUAACUCUUCAUUUCUCUUUGGAACACAAAGUCUAUUUUUGAACAAUAAAGUUCCAUCUCUUCUAACUGAAAAAUCAACGGUGGUUCCACUCAAUGUUCUUUCUAUCAACCGAACUAUGGAAGGGUCAUCAUACUGUGUCUCUCGCACCUUAUCAACCAAAACUGGUCUCACAUGAAAACUAACUACCAAGGCACCAACUUCAUCCACCGCUAAAUCCAUCCAUGUAGCUCGCAACUCAUAAAGAAGUGGAACACGAACCGUCCUCAUGUGAGACAAAGAUAUGGAGGGAUUUCGACUAAGAGCAUCCGUUACUACAUUAGCUUUUCUAGGAUGAUAAAUAGUGCAAUCAUAAUAAUUGUUCAACUCCAUCCACCUUCUCUGUCUCAUAUUUAACUCUCUUUAAGUAAACACAUACCGAAGACUUUUGUGAUCGGUAAAAAUCUGACACUUGGCUCCAUAAAGAUAGUGCCUCCACAACUUGAGAGCAAAUACUACCGUUGCAAGCUCUAGAUCAUAAGUGGGAUAAUUCAUCUCAUGUGGCUUCAAUUGCCUAGAAGCGUAGGCAAUAACUCGAUCAUGUUGCAUCAAUAUUUCGCCUAGACCUCGUCUAGAAGCAUCACAAUAAACCACAUACUUCCCACUAUCAUCCGGAAGUGCCAAAACAGGAGCGCUAGUCAAGCGAUUGUUUAAUUCUUGAAAACUUUGCUCACAUUGAUCUGACCAUUCGAACUUAACUUCCUUCUUGGUCAAUCUUGUAAGUGGAGCAGUAAUCUUUGAAAAAUCUUACACAAAACGUCGAUAAUAACCUGCUAACCCUAAGAAACUGCAAAUCUCCGUCACAGUGGUGGGUCUUCUCUAAUUGGACACUGCUUCCACCUUUUGGGGAUCCACACUAACACCUUCUGCAAAAACUACAUGUCCCAAGAACCCCACUUUAUCCAGCCAAAAUUCACACUUGUUGAAUUAAGCAUACAAUUGAGCAUUUCGUAAAGUAUGCAAUAUCAUUCUUAGAUGUUUGGCAUGCUCCUUCUCACUUCUUGAGUAAACCAAGAUGUCAUCUAUGAAUACGAUCACGAAACGAUCAAGAUAUGGACUAAACACCUUAUUCAUGAGAUGCAUGAACGCAGCGGGUGCAUUAGUAAGUCCUAACGGCAUCACCACAAAUUCAUAAUAACCAUAACGUGAUCGAAAAACAGUCUUAGCUAUGUCACUCUCUCGGAUCCGCAGUUGAUGAUACCCAGAUCUCAAGUCAAUCUUUGAGAAAACAGAAGUACCCCUCAACUGAUCAAAUAGAUCAUCAAUGCGAGGCAACGAAUAUUUAUUCUUCACCGUGACUUGAUUUAGCUUCCUAUAAUCAAUGCAUAGUCUCAUGGUGCCAUCUUUCUUCUUAACAAACAACACUGGAGCACCCCAUGGAGACAUGCUAGGCCAAAUAAAACCCUUGUCUACCAACUCCUGCAGUUGAGUCUUCAACUCUUUCAAUUCCGCUGGAGCCAUUAUGUAAGGUGUUUAUGAGAUAUGUAUAGUUCCGGGAAGUAACUCAAUAGAAAAGUCUACCUCCCUUACAGUAGGCAAACUAGACAACUCCUCGGGAAAAACAUCCGGAAACUCCUUUACUACAGGAAUAUCCUUUACUCCCAAAACUCCCACACUUGUAUCCACAAUAUGAGCUAAAAACGCCUGACAACCUUUGUAAUAUCCCAUAUCGGCCAAACGGAGAGGGGUUAUGUGCUGUAUAUGUACAUGCCCACCUCCAAUCUAAUACGAGGCCUUUUGGUGGCUCAGCGGCUUCGGAGGGGAUGGGUACUCCGAGAUUAAGCAUGAUGAUGCUAGAGCAAUCCCAAGAUGGGUGACCUACUGGGAAGCUGCUCCUGAGCUGCCGGAAACAAAACCGUGAGGGCCGGUGGGCCCAAAGCGGACAAUUUCGUGUUACGGCGGAAUAGUUCCUGGGAUGUGACAAAUGGUAUCAGAGCCACUCUGCCGUGUGGUGCGAGUGUGCCGACGAGGGCGUCGGACUCCCAAGGGGGGUGGAUUGUAAUAUCCCACAUCGGUCAAAUGGAGAGGGGUUAUGUGCUGUAUAUGUACAUGCCUACCUCUAAUCUAAUACGAGGCCUUUUGGUGGCUCAGCGGCUUCGGAGGGGAUGGGUACUCCGAGGUUAAGCAUGAUGAUGCUAGAGCAAUCCCAGGAUGGGUGACCUACUGGGAAGCUGCUCCUGAGCUACCGGAAACAAAACCGUGAGGGCCAGUGGGCCCAAAGCGGACAAUUUCAUGUUACGGCGGAAUGGGUUCUGGGAUGUGACAACCUUUAUUUAACAAUUUCCUAGUAGCAACGGCUGAUAUCAGGCAACUCGAAAUAACAUCUCUUUCCCCUUGAAAUGUAACCUCCGAUCCUUCUGGACUUCGAAACACCACUACUUUUCAGAAACAAUCUACCAUAGUUCUAUAAGCCUCCAAAAAGUCUAUUCCCAAGAUCACAUCAAACUCCACUAUAUCUAAAGGAAUUAGAUUAGCAUUAAACUUAAAUCCCUCCCCAGCCACUAAACACCCAAUUUAUUCUCAUUACCUCUCUGGAGGGUAGAGACACAUGCCACUCGCCUGGAAGGGACGAUGAUGGCACAUUGGCGUGGAGGGCAAAUCUACUAGACAUAAAUGAAUGCGUGGCUCCAGGAUCAAUUAAAGUAAAUGCAAGCUGACCAAAAAAUAAUAACGUACCAAUGAUAACCUCUAGAGAAGUACGACCCUCCUGCUGGGUCAUAGUAUGAAGUCUAGCGCGAGACAUGGGACAUCCACGCUGACCACCACCUUGCUGAGAGCCACCCCUGGCCGCUACACUGCCCUGAGUACCACUAUUGGAGCCUUUGGCUAAAGACUGACCAACUGGAUGAGUAUGGGUGGGGGUGGUCCUCUGAGCCAACAAUGGAUAAUCUCUCCUGAAGUGGUCCUGACUACCACACUCAUAGCACCUAGUAAACUGCUGCUGUCCAUAAGAAAAAGUUUGACCACCAGAUGUCCCACCCUGGAAGCUGCCACCAGUACCAAAUUGUCCAAUCUGCUGUCUACCCAACUAACUCUGGAAAGGUCUCCUGAAAUGUCCUCUAGUCCUAUUCUGAGCACCAGAGCUCGAUCCAUUGCUAUUUCCACUACCAGCAGAAGACCCAGAAGCAGAUGAGGAAGCGGUUUUCUUGGAUGAACCCUGACUAGGACCGCUGAAAUUUCGGGGCCGAGCACUAUGUGUCCCAAUGGUCUCAAUAGCCAUAGCUGCACUAACCACAUCAAGAAAGGUCGGGUACACUACCCCUAUCAUCUUAUCAGCAUAAACACCACCAAGUGCCCCAAUGAACAUCCCAAUCUUGGUCCUCUCAUUAAGAACCAGAUAUGACACAUGAUAGCUCAGGGUAGUGAAUCUCUGCUCGAACUCUAUGACACCCUCAUCAUCCCUAUUCUUCAUGUUCAGGAAAUCCGACUGAAUCCUGCUACGAUGAGCAUGACUGAAAUACUGCCCCAAGAAGAGUGUCUUAAACUGCUCCCAUGUCAUAUCCUGAGCACCCUCAAUAUCCCUGAUGGCAAGUGACCACCAAUGAUACACUGAAUCAUCUAGAAACGUCACCGCCAUAUCCACCUUCUUUUCUUCCGGGAUAUCAGUACUCCUAAAACCUUUUUCCAUCUUACCUACCCAAGUGUAUGCAUCAAGGGGUCCCUUGGCACCCUUGAACUCAAUUGCCCCAGCCUCGAAAACAUCCCUCUUCUUCACAGUCCGAGGGUUCUGAACUUUAUCUAAAACACCCCUCAGCAUAUUCCCAAUAGAAUCCACUAAUCCCCUGAGGAAGAAGAUUGGCGUUGGUCGAAUUAGCUACCCGGGGUUGGCGUCUAGGAGGCAUAGUACCUGAGGAAGAAGAUAUUUAGUAGUCUAUAAACAAGACUAACAGAACUAUCACACAUACCCAAUAACAUAUAGCAUCCAAAGCAUAAACUGCCAAUGAAUCCGCCGCGGUCGGAUCACCACUCUAUAGACACUACGUGCUACUUAGGCAAAUAUGAUAAUAAUAAGGAGGCAGGAAAUAAAACCUAAAGCUUUAAUACCAACUGUCAGGACUCACCCCGAAUUUCACCCUGAAACCUAAAGUCAAUCCUGCGGGGUUCACCUCCAAGGAAAAUUUAUCGAAAAAGUUUAGCAUAACUUCCCUUGAAAGUUGACAACCCUUACCUGAAAAAUUCAGAAUACACUCCUAUAACGAAACAACCAUCCUCAACUUCUAGAGCCACCCGCUCCCCACAAACACAACCACCACAAUAAAACAAUAAAACCAUCCCCCAAUUCAUCACAUAAAUAUCCAACUAAAAUAACAAACUGCAUCCUUCGAAUAUUCUAAAAUGUAAUCAUAAGCCUUAGCACACAACCGAAUGAAUUUCAUUUACAUUCAUCAGAUUCCUUAUAUGAAUUCUAUGAAAAAAUAAGAAAGAGAUAGAAAUUCAUACAAGGCUACGACUCUUACAUCUAGUCUAACGCUCACGUCGCAUCAUAAUGAAACUUUAUCUCAUUAUGACGGAACAAGAUGGGUGUAUAUACAUGCAGAUCCCCUAUAUGAAAACCUAUACGAAAAUAUAAGAAAAUAGUUUUCAUAUAGGGCUACGAUGCUUGCGUCUAACGCUCACGUCGCGCCAUAAUAAAAUUUUACUUCAUUAUGACGGAACAAGCACGUAUGACUAGCUAGCAUUUAUUAUACAUGCUAUCCUCAUAAUAUCCAAAUACAUAUUAACCAAAAAUCUCAUUUUUGGUAAGUCUCAAAAAUGAUGAAAAUUGUCAAAUAUCCGAAAAAGCAAUAAAUCCCAGCAGAAGAAUAACUGAUCAACAAAAUAAUGCAUCGCAUGCUUUUAAAUUAAAACCAAGUCCACGCACAAAUUAGGCCUAAGCCUGAUGUCGAUCUGAGACCUCAUCUGCUCGAGCCUCCUCACGUCAUGUUCUAAAUAUAUAAUUAAAUUCCCAACCAAAAAUCUAAUAUUUAUACAAAAUAGGCGAAAUUAAACGUGAGCCGUAACCACGCUCAUUAUUGCCUAAUUAACCACCAAAAUACCAAACUUUGAAAAAUCUCAAACCUAUCCAAAACUCCUCCAAAAAUUCCAAACUUCACAUGAUUAGUCUCCCUUUAAUAUAACACAUUUCAAACCAUGAAAAUCUCCCUAACAGCGGCGGUGCUGACGUCUACUCUACCGGCAGCGGCGACCGGCACCGGUGACCUCUAAUGCCUACCAAAUUUUAGCAGCAUUUUCCUCUCAACCCACUAUACAACUUUCCUAACUAGCACAAACACCAAUUCCAAGCCUAACUAGAUCAAUCGAACAAAAACAUUUCAAGAAACACUAGAACUUCUACUCACCGAUUCUCCUCACCUGAAGCAAACUGGAUUGAGUCCUUUUAGGGCAAGGCUACUGGGUUGAAGACCUUCAAAACCAUAUAAGGCUUGCCCGGAUUGGUGGCCUGAGGAGGAAGUUCCGGCGACGGAACACCACGGACGACCAGAGCUGUCAGGACCUACCCCGGAUUUCCCCUUGAAAUCCGGAAUAAACCCUGCGGGACCCACCUCAAGGGAAAUUCUACCAAAAUUUUGGCAUAACUUCCCUUGAAAAUGAGUAACCCUACCUAGAAGAAAAAAAUCACCAAAACCCAAACACUUCUAAAACAAUUCAAUCCACGUCUUCUGCAGCCAUCCGCUCCUCCAAAUAAACAUCCACCACCUCAACCAACAUAAUAAAUCGAAAUAAUUUCAUGAAUUUAAUCCCUCAUAUAACAUGCCAAAUAAACCUUUUUCAACACUCAUAGGUGGAGUCAUAAGCUCUUAACUCGCAACAUUAACAACAACAACAACACUUAAAACAUCCCAAGGUUAUCAGAGCAAC